UGCAGUCGAACGCCUCGGCAACGGGGAGUGGCAGACGGGUGAGUAACGCGUGGGAACCUACCUCAAGGUACGGAACAACCAAGGGAAACUUUGGCUAAUACCGUAUGUGCCCGAGAGGGGAAAGAUUUAUCGCCUUGGGAUGGGCCCGCGUAGGAUUAGCUAGUUGGUGAGGUAAUGGCUCACCAAGGCGACGAUCCUUAGCUGGUCUGAGAGGAUGACCAGCCACACUGGGACUGAGACACGGCCCAGACUCCUACGGGAGGCAGCAGUGGGGAAUAUUGGACAAUGGGCGCAAGCCUGAUCCAGCCAUGCCGCGUGUGUGAUGAAGGCCUUAGGGUUGUAAAGCACUUUCGCCGAUGAAGAUAAUGACGGUAGUCGGAGAAGAAGCCCCGGCUAACUUCGUGCCAGCAGCCGCGGUAAUACGAAGGGGGCAAGCGUUGUUCGGAUUUACUGGGCGUAAAGCGUACGUAGGCGGAUAUUUAAGUCAGGGGUGAAAUCCCGAGGCUCAACCUCGGAACUGCCUUUGAUACUGGGUAUCUUGAGUCCGAGAGAGGUGAGUGGAACUCCUAGUGUAGAGGUGAAAUUCGUAGAUAUUAGGAAGAACACCAGUGGCGAAGGCGGCUCACUGGCUCGGAACUGACGCUGAGGUA
rnacentral:rRNA from 1 species